rnacentral:rRNA from 1 species
AGCAGCUAGGAAUCUUGGGAAUGGGCGAAAGCCUGACCCAGCAACGCCGCGUGGGGGAUGAAGGCCUUCGGGUCGUAAAGCCCUUUUGCCAGGGACGAUAAUGACGGUACCUGGCGAAUAAGCCACGGCUAACUACGUGCCAGCAGCCGCGGUAAUACGUAGGUGGCGAGCGUUGUCCGGAUUUACUGGGCGUAAAGGGCGUGCAGGCGGCUACGUAAGUCCGGCGUGAAAUCCCAUGGCUUAACUGUGGAACUGCGUCGGAUACUGCGUUGGCUUGAGGAUGGUAGAGGCCAUUAGAACUAGCGGUGUAGCGGUGAAAUGCGCAGAUAUCGCUAGGAAUGCCGGUGGCGAAGGCGGCGACCUGGGUAGAUACUGACGCUGAGGUGCGAAAGCGUGGGGAGCAAACAGGAUUAGAUACCCCGGUAG